AUCUCUCUGUCCACCGCCUCUCCUUUUCCAAGCAGAGCCCUUCCUUUGCUGACAGACAGGCGGCUGGCUUUCUCUGGGGCCGUUUGUCUGUCAGAUGGCUUAUUUCCUUGCCUCCCUCAGGCGCUAAUGGAGUUUAAUCCCUCAAGAGGCAGGUCCUGGAUUGGGUUCCCUUCGGCUGGUGGAGCUGUCUGCCGGAAGGAAGGAAGAGUCUCUCUGAGCACUAAGAUGGUCCAAAGCCUGCCCAGGUGAAGUACAUGGAGGGGAAACAGAUGUUGUUGUUUGGAUUGAAGAUGUCCCCCAAAGGCCUCGUGGACUCACAGGCAGGGCUUUUAGAAGCUCCUCUCUUCUUUCCCUGCUUCCUGGUUGUCAUGAUGUGAGCAGCUUUCCUCCAGCCAUGCUCUCUGCCAUGCCAUUUCUGCCUUGGAACCAGCUGACUGUGGACUGUAACUGUGCAUCAAAAUAAACCUCCUCAAGUGGAGGAAAACCACUGCAACCCCUGCUGACAGUCGCUAGGAGCACAAGUGAAGCCACUGUGAGUGUGCAGCCCCAGCUGAGCCUCCAGAUGACUACAACUGUGUGAGAGACCCGAGUGGACACACUGCCCAGCCAGCCUACAGACUCCUGAGAGAAAUAAUCAAUCAUGGUUGUUUUAAACCACUAAGUUUGGGAUGGUUUGUUAUGCGGCAAUAGCUGACAAAUACACCUUGCAAACAGAGUCAGCAAGAGCAUGCAAGAGAGGUGAACAUCUGCUCCCUGGAGUUGGUGACAUGUGCCUCACCCCAAAAGAUGAAUGGCUUGGAGAACUAGCUUGGGGUGGAGGAGCUGUGUAGUGUGCAUGCUGAAGGUGGUUUAGGCAGUGAAGUUCUAGAAUCCUGGUGUGGCUCCACAGCACUUAGCAUUACCCUUCAGAACUUGUGUUUCUCUGCGCAGGACUCUGGUGGCCUGUUGGAUGCAUGAGCCACGAAAGCAUUAAGAAUCUGUGGUCUCAGAGUGUUUCUAUAGCAGGGAAGAAGUAAGAGGUGAUAGUCAUGUGUCCACACUCAGAGGUGCAGGCUUGGGGGUGUGGUGGAGGCAAAGGGAAAAUGUGGUGUCCAGGAAAUCCCCCAUCUCAUUUUUUGGACUAGAGAAAUGGUCCUUCGAGCAGUCAAGCCAAUAGAAGGGACUGGGCCCUGUGACGUUUUCAAAGCCACCUAAAGCAUAGUUUUGCCUUUUUGUGUGUGAAAUAUAAAAGAAUGAAUGAACAAGACCUCAUGAAUUGGGUUGGGGAGGAUGGAGAGGAGGACUUAGGGAAUGAAAAAAAAAGUUCCAAUCAUUAAGUCUACCAGCUAAUAAGAUUAAUUUCCAAGGCUUAUAGAGUGUCUACUGUAUGCCAAGCAGUGUGCUAAGUGCUUGGCAUGCCUUGUCCCAUUCACUCCUUAUGACAUUUCCAAGGAUCAUGGUACUGUGACCCCCCCCCCAUGAUAGACAUAAGUCAACUCAUGUUCUAGGCAGAUGCUGCCUGCUGCUCAAAGCUCAGCCAGGUUGGCAACAUCCCCUGUAACAGCGUGUGACCAGCACUGUCUUGGUGAUAGGGGUGUAAUCAAAGGUGCUUGGAGAGCAAGGUGAGCUUCCCCACUUAAAUGCCUUCAGUAGGCUGCGAUGAGCCAAAGGUGCAAGUGCAGUGUGGUACGGCCAGUGUGCUGAGAUGCGUCACCUCUGGCCAGUCUCCAGCACCGCUCCCCAGCCCCACAACACUGUUGGCGUUGGCUUGGGAGGUGGGCAGCAUGGAGGAGAGCAGAAUGCAGCCAUGAGAGGGGGCAGGGAGAGGAAGGACUGACACUCUCGGGUUUCAGGAAAGCACAAAGCCAAAGGAGGCAGAGAUUACCUGUUUGUGCAAUCUGGCCUCAGGCUAUCAGCAAUCCCAACCUGCCUCCAGCCCCCAACCCCCCUCCCCGUGGGCUGAGCAGUGCUGGAGCUUGGGAGAAGCAGCCUUGGGGACAAUCGGGGUCUGGGAAGUGGCAGAGCCUGGGCACAGGCAGGACUGCUGGAGAGCUACAAUCCACGCUUUAUUUGAGGGAAACUGAGGCUCAACUGCCUAUCCCAUGGUUGCUUAGAGAAAAGGGCAGGAUUUCAAAACUGGUGGCAAAGAAGAGCAGGCCAAACAGCAAUCAGGUGUGGCUUCAGUCCCCUCUUUCCCAUAAUCAGCAUUUUUUUUUUUUUUUUUGCCUGUCUUUCCCCUCCCUUCUGCAUCUAAGCCUUCAGUUUCCAUAGUGGAUGCAUCUUGGAGCAGGCAGGAAAUGCCUCACCAUCUCUCUGGAAAUAGAUGUUCUUUGAAUCAGCCUCAUCAGUAUGAUGAAGAAAUAGAGAGCAGAUCUAAUCUAUUGGCGCAUUUUUCUAAUUACCAGAUUGAUUUACCAGAGAAAUCUCCCCAGGAAUUUGACUUCUCGGCAAGGUCUUUGCAAGCUCUAAAUUUGUUCUCUGAAAAAAGCCCCACAAAAUCCUGACAGAUUUGGGGGGAACUGGGUCCCUCUAAUCAGGGCACAGAGCUUAUUUGUUUUCUAAUGGAAUCUGAAUAGAAUUGAAUGCACAGCCACUCUGUGUGGAGCACAUUCAUAUUUUUAAUUAACAAAUUAGGAGCUAUUUUGUUCCCCCUUUGAACACCAGUCAUGUGGGCCUGGUUCCUUUUCGGCCAAUUUAGUCAACUUGGAUGAUUUUAAUUACAACAGUCACGAGCACCAGAAAUUCCUGCGUCUGACAGAUUCGCGACCUGGUCCAUUGACUCUCAUUUAAAAGCAAGUUCUCCAUGAACAGAGAUCUCCGAGGGCGCCAGUGGGCGUCAGGAGAGGGGGCCCGGCAUGGUGCCUUUGGGCACGGGGAGCCUCGUUUUCCACGUGGAGUCCUGAUUACAAGGUGGUCAGCUGUCCCGGCCGGGCCUUCCCAUUUUUAAGAAGCAGCAGCCCUCCACGGAAGUGCUUCUGAAGCUCCGGAGGAAGCACUUUGAAGCGCCUGGACAGGGAGGAAUUGCGCUCCUGGCUUCUUUCCUUGGAAGCUUGGCCUCACUCCCACGCUUCUCAAACUUCAACAGACCCAGGAACCCCCUGGGGAAUGUUGUUAACAGGUAGACCUUGAUUUAGUUGGCGUGGGGGUGAGGCCCGAGAUUCUGCAUUUUCGAUGAGCUGGCCACUGCUGCUGAUCGUCGGACCACACUUUGAGUAGCAAGGCUUUGGCUGAUUUCUCUAUUUCUGGUGGAUUGCAGAACCUCAAAGGGAGCCAGAGGCCUGAAAGACACUCACAUAAAGCACAGGCGUGGUGAUCAGGUUUGAGAGUUGGAAGGCAAGUGGGAGGGAAAAUCUUGCUUCAGUUACAGCAUCUCCCUGGGGUGCUGAGCAGGAGAGACCCCACCCCUGACAAGCCUGAUCCUUCCUCAACCAUGCUCCCUAUGCACAGUGCAUCGCCUUGCCUUCCAUUACAGGACGGCCAGCCCCGUGUGCAAAGGGCUGUGAAGUGGUCUCAUUGAGCCAGGUGUCUGGGUGAGGUCCCAGACUUUGAGGGCUGGUGGAGCCAGCAAACCACCCCGGAGGCAGAGUCCAUCCUGGAAACAGAUCUGUCCUCCAGCCUUCCCUGUGCCAGCAGAAUGGAUGCUGAAUUAGCAAAGCUGAGAGAACAGGGAAUGGGGAACACAAUGUUCCCUGAGAGGUUGCAAUCAAAGGGGUCCCAGCCCCCCACCCCCUGCUGAGAAUUCUGUGAAUUUAUGAUGUGUCGACAGUUUGAGCCCUAGCACAUAGCAGUCUGAUGGGCUACAAUUAGGAGAGCGUGUUAAGCCCCUCCCUAGUCCUCCAUCGUGUAUUCAUGGAAUUUAUGUGGUCUCAGCAAAGUGAGCGAUGUGCACAUUUGGGGCAGGAAUUUUAGAACUAUGAUGUCAUUAUCCCAGGAGAGGUGGCCAGGAGAGGAGAGAAGAAUAACAGUAGGGAUAAAGUAAAAAAUCCCAAGCUGACUUGGGUCUGGAUUCAAAACAAACUAUGUGUCAUAAUUAUUUUUAUGACAUUUUUGAGGCCAUUGGAAAUUUGGAGCCCUAGGUAUUUGAUGACAUCAAGGAAUUUUUGUUAAUUUGGGGGUGCCAGAAUGGGAUUAUGGUUAUGCUAAACUGACAGUCCUUACCUUUAGUGAUGCAUACUGAAAUAUUUAUGGAGGAAAUGAUCUGAUGUGUGGGAUUUGCUUUAAAAUGAUACAGAAAUAGGAGAACUAGAUGAGGAUAUGAAAGAUUGAUCACGCACUGACCAUUGUCAGAGUUGUGCGGUGGGUGCAUGGGAGUUUAUUAUGUAGUUCUAUUUUUGUAUGUGUUUCAAAUGCUCCAUAUUAAUAGGUUAAAAAACUCCUAGUGCACAUCAUUCAUUUUGCUGAUAACACAUAAAUUCCCUGAAUACAUGAUGGAGAGGAGAAGGGGAGGGAAAAGAAGGGAAAGCAAGAGGAGGGGAGAUUCAACAUUAUGGAAAGGAUAUUGCCUUAUGGCUUGGGUAUGGUCUGAGUGUGUCCCCCAAGGGUUCAUGCACUGGGAGCUGUUCCUCAGUGUGGGGAUGUGGGAGAUUCUGGAACUUUAAAAAGGGGCCUGGUGGAACGUAAUUAGGCCAUUGAGGGUGCUGUCUUUGGAAGAGCUCAUCUGGCCCUUGCCUCUUUCCAGCUUCCUGUCUCACUAUGUGCUGUCUUCUCCAGUGUACCCUGCCAUCCACCAUGAUGUGACCUACCCACGGGGACCUCCUCAGAGCUAAGCAGGUGUCGGUGCCUGUGCUAUUGGACCUCCAGGCCUGGAAGCUAAAGAGACUUCUUUUCUUUAUAACUUCCCAGCCUCAGAUAUUUUGCUGUAGCAAUGAAAAAGGGACUGAUGCAUUGUCUCCUUUUCUCCUACACUCUGGGCUCAGAAAGAGGAGAAAAAGUGAUCAGAACAUGAUGAGCCAAUCCAACAUACCUUGGCAGUGCUCUGUAAAGCAAAAGACUUCACUUUUGAAGAGUGUGUGGGAGCUUAGUUUUUUACUCUGUCUGGGGAGAAAACCUUAGCCUAUUUUGGAAUAUAUUUCCAUAGCUUUAAUUUAUUUCAUUCAUCUGUCUCUGUGGUUAUCUGUCUAGCUUUUCAGGUAAGUAGGACCUUGGGGAUGAGGUUAUUGGUUUGUUUGACCCUUGUCCUCACCCAGAGAUUCUAGACUAGCUGCACCAAGCAGAUCAAGAGCAUGAUCUGAGGUUCUGAGUUGUGAAGGAGAAUGUCAUAGCCAUGUCCAUCAGAGCCGAAGCUAACCAAGGUGGCAGUGACUAUUUAGCCUUGAACUGAGUUGUCCAGGGAAUGGUGAGGACAAGGAAAAUCAUAUGACUAGGUAGGGUAGGAAGAGGUACAGACAUGUGUUUCAGUAAUUUCUGCUCACAAUCACCAGUUUCUAACAAUGGCUUAGGUAUCAGAAAUCAACCUGGCUACCAUUAAUUAUAACAGUUAAACUUUAUUGAGCAUUUACUAUGAAUCCAGCUCCGUGUUAUCACUUUAUAUGAUGAGUGCCUCUGAUGGAGGUGUCAAUAUCAUUCCCAUUUUCAGAUGAGAAAAUUGUGGCCUACAGAAUUUAAGCAAUUUGCCCAAUUUUGCACCCUAGGCACCUCAUGCACUUCACCGUAGCCCCAGCCCUGAUCAGGGUUCAAGCCCAGUUCUGUACCAUGUCUGCAUCUGCACUCCUGAAUGAGCACCCAGGGACUUUUCUCCUUUAGAAGGGGAUUGCUUGAAUAAGGUGGGUGGGGGUUAUGAUUCAGGGAGCAAGAACUCUAGCCUGGAAUUGGUGGGAUAAAGCAGAAGGAGAAAAUAAUUGAUAAUCCCUUUGUGUCAUCCUUGAACUUUGCAUGUUAGGAUUACGGACUUUAUUGUAGGGUCUGCUCUCCUGUGCAGUAGCACUUCACCCAUCCCAGGAGACUGAGUAGUGGAGAUGAUCGGUUUCCCCACCUGCGCCUGUCGAGCCCCAAAUCUGUGCACUCGAACACUAGAGACUUUCACCUCAAAUUUCCCUUUGUCAGUUUCAUUUGCACCAAUGAUUGGUCUUGGUUGUGGGAACUUUACCUGAUGUUUGUACCUAUUUUAAAAUUAGAUAAAGACCUUUGCUCAGGCCUUUUGUCCUAUAUACUGCUGAUGGGAGGGUAAAUUGGGCUAAUGCCCUUACACAGCUGCUUAGUAAUACCUGUUAAGUCUAACCCUAAGUUAUCCCACAAACCAACAGCUGC